rnacentral:rRNA from 1 species
UACGAAGGGGGCUAGCGUUGCUCGGAAUCACUGGGCGUAAAGGGUGCGUAGGCGGCUCAGUUAGUCGGGUGUGAAACCCCCGGGCUCAACCCGGGGACGCCACCCGAUACUGCUGUGGCUAGAGUCCGGUAGGGGAGCGUGGAAUUCCUGGUGUAGCGGUGAAAUGCGCAGAUAUCAGGAGGAACACCAGCGGCGAAGGCGGCGCUCUGGGCCGGAACUGACGCUGAGGAGCGAAAGCGUGGGGAGCGAACAGG